AAACUCUACUGUGAAUAAGAAGAGCAAACUUCAAAUUAUGAACCGGGUCCUGUGCUCUGUGAUGCUGUUUUUAACUCAAGUACAGAUACCCAAACAGCAUGAAGCAGUAACCUGGAUUCACUCCACCACGCUUCAGCCACAUGACUGGGUCAAAUAAGGUUGUCACAGAUUUCUUCACCUGAUGUCGCCUUUAAAAAGGCCAAAAGAGGGUACUGCUAUUAACAGUGAAUAAUACCUGUGGAUGUUCCCUGCCAUCUUUUUGAUGUUGUUCUUACAGAAUGAUUUCUAGAAAAAAAAACCAAAACCACCAGAAAUCUUUUCAGAGGCCAUCUCUGCCUGGGCACAGAACUGGGACGCUGUGCAGCUGAUGGCUGAGAGCAGUCAGCAAGGCGGAGCAGAUUUUUGGGUGCGAUGGACUUUUAGAUUUUCACCUAACGCUUUCAACAGAUUUGUGAUGGAUAAAUGAAAUGAUUUACAGCAAGAUGUUGGGGGAAGAGGAGAAAAACAAUUGCUUUAGUUGUCACAAUUCUUCAUUUCCCAGGAAAAAUAUCAAGCUACUAAAUUUGUUACUGAACAUGCUGAAAACACAUUUCUGAAUGUUACAGGAUCUGCUCAUCUAUUCAAAGAUUAACAGCAGAAAACGUCCUUGUUUAAGAUCAGCAAUGCAAGACCUUCAUCGCCAGUGACCUUCCAACUCAACAAAGACUGGAUUGUUUUUCCAGACACUGUGAGCUGAAGGCAUCCUUUCACUCUAAGACACAUAACGGAUGAGAAUACAAGCAUUAAUAUAAAUUCCUCACUAAAGAGAGAAGCUGACCUCGUGACUCUCUCACUAGGUCGUCUAAACUGAAUCCUGACUGCCAAAACAGUACCUGUGCACAUCUCCACCAACAUGAAGAAACCGUAAGCCUCUGCCCAGAGGCAGUACACAUUGUCUGCGCAUGGGAAAAUCUCCAGGUAGUGUUGAGAAGCGAGAUGAUUUCUUAGAGCUGUUAAUGCCCAAGGUACAAUCCCCAUAGAGAAAACAUGAUUGCAAAAGAGCCCCUGGAGAGAUCUAACCAGCGUAAGCAUGCUGCUGGGAGACAUUAUGAGCUGGGCCAAGACAGAGCAGCACCACAGCUGCUUUACACUCACCAAGUGAACUCCAGCACUCUGGGAGUCACGAGAGCUGUGGUGGGCCUCCCCCACGCACGGCGAACUCCUCCAUCAAGCACAACUCAGCCUGAGCUGACAUCUGGGCCUUAUGUUUUCAUCUCCUAGGCAGAUAGCUUCCACAACUUUAGAGAUACAACACUCAGGCACUGGAGGUAUACGGUACAGGAGAGAUGCUUCAAUAACACGUGAAGCUGCUGCAAGGAAAAAACAUUGUGUAAAAAGCCAGCAGCCAUCAGAAAUGCUGGAAGAGGGUUGCUUGCUGCGGUUUACAUUCAGCCCAGUAGUAGAGGUCAGGCCAGCUACAGUGCUGAGUAUAAAGGCUGAGGGUGACCAGAGAUCUUUCUAAACGUUUUUCAACAGACAGUAUGUUUCAGCUAAAUACUUUUCUGGAUAAAUCUCUGCUCAUUUGGAAAAAAUAAAAUAAAUUCUUAGGAAAUUCCAA
rnacentral:lncRNA from 1 species